GUGGGGAAUUUUGGACAAUGGGCGAAAGCCUGAUCCAGCCAUGCCGCUUGCAGGAUGAAGGCCUUCGGGUUGUAAACUGCUUUUGUACGGAACGAAAAGACUCCUUCUAAUAAAGGGGGUCCAUGACGGUACCGUAAGAAUAAGCACCGGCUAACUACGUGCCAGCAGCCGCGGUCAUACGUAGGGUGCAAGCGUUAAUCGGAAUUACUGGGCCUAAAGCGUGCGCAGGCGGUUAUAUAAGACAGAUGUGAAAGCCCGGGGCUCAACCUGGGAACUGGAUUUGGGACUGUAUAGCUAGAGUACGGUAGAGGGGGAUGGAAUUCCGCGUGUAGCAGUGAAAUGCGUAGAUAUGCGGAGGAACAACGAUGGCGAAGGCAAUCCCCUGGACCUGUACUGACGCUCAUGCACGAAAGCGUGGGGAGCAAACAGGAUUAGAUACCCUGGUAGUCC
rnacentral:rRNA from 1 species